rnacentral:rRNA from 1 species
CGGGAAACCGGAGCUAAUACUGAUAAUAUUUCGAACCGCAUGGUUCGAUAGUGAAAGAUGGUUUUGCUAUCACUUAUAGAUGGACCUGCGCCGUAUUAGCUAGUUGGUAAGGUAACGGCUUACCAAGGCGACGAUACGUAGCCGACCUGAGAGGGUGAUCGGCCACACUGGAACUGAGACACGGUCCAGGACUCCUACGGGAGGCAGCAGCA